UACAGAGGUCCCAAGCGUUGUUCGGAUUCACUGGGCGUAAAGGGUGCGUAGGUGGCGAGGUAAGUCGGAUGUGAAAUCUCCGAAGCUUAACUUGGAAAUGGCAUUGGAAACUACCUGGCUUGAGGUUUGGAGGGGGACUGGAAUACGUUGGUGUAGCAUGUGAAAUGCGCAGAUAAUCAGGAGGAACACCAAUGGCGGAAGGCAGCUCG
rnacentral:rRNA from 1 species